AGCGGCGCAAGAUGGCGGUUCGGCGGCGCGACGUUCAGGUAAAUAUGGCCAUGGCCUCCCGCCCGGCAGGAUGGACAGGCGUACUCGAGGUGGUCGAGCGUUCUCGAACGCCUGCGCGACGCGUCAGCUGGACGGCGUUCGAACCCGGUGCAAUCGGCCGAAUGAAAAUCGCUCGUUUUGUACGCAUCAAAUCGGUCCAUGUUACCAUUGUGGCGGCUUGUGGCGGCCACUUGGCGUCUUCAGAAAUUGUCUGGCCCGGAACAAAACUUGCAGCCGUAUCAAGGGACACCUGGCUACCGUUUGACGGAUGAAACAAGGCGCAUCGCCAGUUCAAAAUGUUACUCCAGUGCAAACGGAAAGUGUCGAAACGGCAUCGGUUCUUUCCGUGAUUUAUUACUUCAUUUCCAAGCACGAGGGACUUCAGCGUUUCCCUGGUCGUUGGUCAUGUGUGAUUACGCCACCUGGGUGAUAGCGAAUGGCGUGAUGCAGCAUAACCUUAAAAUGCUAUUGAAGUAAAAAAAAAAUUGAAAACGCCGCGUUGGCCGGAAGAAGUGUCUCCGCCAGCCGCAAUGCGUGGUCCUCCCAGACGCUCGGGUGCGACGCUGUAUUCUUGAUCGUAAUUGUGCGGAACUGUUCUCUGUACAGGCUGAGUGUUGUACGAAAAACGUUUUAAUCCUCAGAAACAAACUGUCAUAUACGGUUAUUUCAUGCGUUGUUUUACAUCAAUUUCUUUUUCAUUGCGUUUCUUUUUGGUUUUUGCCUCACGUGCAAGCUCGCACGAGCAUACGCCUUUGGCGCGCAGAGAGGCACGCACGCAAAGCGCGUAGUGAUACGUUCUUGUCACCGAACUUCUUGCGUAGCUAGCAGAGCGUUUCACCUGAUGUCUGAAACGGAGUAUAGUGUAUAUCUUACACCGUGGUGCCGGCUCAGCCCUCCCCGAUGCUACUGCGGUAGCGGUCGAAAAAGCGCCGAAAGAAGAUAUGGAACGACUAAUAUCGAGCCUGUCGGAGGGUCCAGCUCAAGUGUCUACAUCCCUAAUGAUUCAGCUUUUCAGUACUGUGUACAGCUAGAAGAUGCCUUUGGGCUAUGAAUAUACGAUAACACUCCAAGAAGAAAUCAGACCUGAUGAUGAACAUAUCAACCAAAUCAAUGACAAGGAGGCCACCCAAGGGAUGGUUCUUGGCUACGAGUUCAAGGUUACCCUCCAGGAGGAAAUACGACCAGAUGACGAGCAUUUGAAGCAAAUAAAUGACAAUGAAGCCACCCAAGGGUCACUGCUACUGGUGGCUCCACCGGACGAGCUUGCAACGGUCGCCCACCGUCACGUGCGCUGCUGCUGCUGCUGCGGGUCAACACAGUGCGCCUUGGUGACCACACUCGUUCCAGUUUCCUCAGAUGACUCUUGGGAUUGAGUUCCUGAUAACUGUCAACAGGGUCCUAGGUGUUACGCAGGCAAGGGUCCAAGACCUUAACGAUAAUUUACAGGGCAAGUCGGUGAUGGUGAAAAAAAAAUCUGAAAUCAAGUUCAUCAUUAAGUUCACGGACCUGGGGAAAGCCACAGCCGCUAGCCGAACCAAGACUCCGCUUGGUCAUCAAGAAAUGUCGGUGCAGACCAGUCUUCGGUCUGACCGAAUAAGACUGGUCUUCAGCUACCUCAGUGAGGUUUCACCACUAACCGGGGCCACAGUGUGGAAAACCACCCUGGACAUCACCAGCGUCAACGUUCCCAUAGAUGUGACACGCGGACUAGUUCACAUCAU